AACCUUCCGCUAGGCUCGUCUUCUGCGUUUAAUUUUACUUUCACUUGUGCUAAUCUCUAGUUUGCCAGCUACUUAAGUUUCGUUGUGGGCUUUGCUUACUUUCGCACAGUUUCGUAGUAUGGUGGUUUUUCGCGGAGUCAAAUGCUGCUGUGAAUUGUGUUUACUGUGCCAUAUCCGAUGUUGUUGUUUGUAUCGCGUUUGCCUCCUCUACUUCUAACGAGUUGCCUGCUUUUUGCCUGUCUCGUCUUUUUGUGUGAUUGCGGCAAGUUUCAGUGUGUUCCACCAUUGAUAUUCUUUAUGCAAUGUUGCAGGUUUGAAAUCCGUGUCUCUGGCCCUUAUUGCUCCAUUUCUGACAUCGCUGUGUUGCCGUCAUCAACUUGUGUUCAACUAGUUCAACCCCUAUGGUGCAGAAAUGGUUAGGUGACUGGUGUGAUCAAUGAGUGUGAGGUCAUGCAGACCAACGACCAGUCGAGCUCAUCCCCAGACAUGACAGUAAUUUGUUUACCUGUUGUAUGUGAUACGUGACAAGUUGUAUUUAUAUUUGUUUGACCUGGACCUGGACGUCAUUCCUACGCCUGUUUCACCCUUGACUCCAGCAGGAAUGAGGUCUUUGCCCUGGACUGGAUCUGUGGACUGUUGAGGCUGUUACUGGAAUCGGUUGCGACAGUUUACUCACACUCUAACCACUUUGGAGAAAAAAUGUCUAUUGGAAUAAGGAAGAGGAUGUUCGGGGAUACAUACAGUUGAUGAGACUUCUGUUUGUCAAGCUCUUUUCUAAUUCAGUAAAGUAAAUCAACUGGAUCAUGCGCAUGGAUUUGCAUGCAAAUGUAAGCUGUUUGUAUUGUUAAAGUACCUUUGCGUCAGAAAGUAAAACAGUGCUUCAUCAUCAGUGAGGAUAUAUUUUGACUCUAUCUGUCUGUAGUGCUCUCAUAAAUGUUCAAUCGGCAUGUGUUGCUUUAAAAUUUUGCCUUCAUGUUUACCUUUGGAAUCCUUUUGGAGUUUAUUUUGUUUAUCUUUAGUUAAUAAUCAAUAGACAUUUUGUCUUCUUGUUCAUUUGUUAUUACAAGGAAUUUUGUAGUAGGAAGUGUAUUUCUUAUCUGCCUGCACAACUUUAGUUUCUUCUCUCAUGGGUGUGAAGUUUUGUUUGUAGUUCUGUUUUCAUUUUGCACAAUUUUAUGCAGAACUAGCAUUUCUAUCUUUGCAUAGGAUUGUAGCCGGAAAUAGUUUCUUAAAACGGUUGUUUACAUGCAAUGUUGUUUUAAAAUAAUACUUGAGUAUGCUGAUAUGGUCAGAUGCCGCCUAAGAUGCCCAUAUUUCUGUAAGUUUAUCCGCUCUUACUUUCACAUUUCAAACUUGUCAAUGAGUGCCUUACUCCUUUCUUCAAGAUUUUGGUCAGUUUUCUUUAUUGUUUUUUUUUUUUUUUUAGCAACUGAAUGUAAUUUGAAUCGGAUUUAGUGAAGGCUGCUUCAAUGCCUGUCUUGUGUGAAUCACCUCAGAAAUUCUUUAACUGGGUGACAAUUGAUGUUUUGUUUUUUAUAAAUGUUGAUUUUGCAUACCUUAUUUUACAUCUGUUUGUGAUUAGAUAAUUUAAAAGCAGUGUUCUUGUGAUCUGUUUGAUCUCUCAGUUUAGUGAGCUUACAAAUAAUUUCCAUUUC